CCCUGAGUAUCAGCUCAGGGCAUCUGUUUCGAAUUUGUAACCAGGGGGUCUGCUCGUG
rfam:Enterobacter sp. 638, complete genome.